rnacentral:rRNA from 1 species
AUUAAUUGGCGGCAAUUUAAAUUUUUUAGAGGAAUUUAUUCUGUAAAGGAUCCAACACCAAAAUCUUACUUUUGUUAGUUUACAGUUUGUAUAUCUCUAUAUAAAAAUAUAAUAUUAUAUUUUUUAUUUUAUUGACUAACUAUAUUUUAGGUAAAGGUGCAGCUUAUACAAAAGAUUGAAAUAAAUUAUAUUAAUUAUUGUUUAACAAUAUAUCUAUGGUAAAUAGGUGUUUAGUAAAAUUUAAAAGUAAAAUUAAUAGAUUAAGUUAAUUUGAAUAUUAAUUUAAUUGUGUACAUAUUGCCCGUCAC